ensembl:lncRNA
ACACACACACACACACACACACACAGAACACAGGGUGGGACUACACACACACACACACACACACACACACACACACACACACACACACACACACACAGAACACAGGGUGGGACUACACACACACACACAGAACACUGGGUGGGACUACACACACACACACACACACACACACACACACAGAACACAGGGUGGGACUACACACACACACACACACACAGAACACAGGGUGGGACUACACACACACACACACACACACACAGGGUGGGACUACACACACACACACACACAUGGUGGGACUACACACACACACACACACACACACACACACACAGGGUGGGACUACACACACACACACACACACAGGGUGGGACUACACACACACACACACACACAGGGUGGGACUACACACACACACACAGGAACACAGGGUGGGACUACACACACACACACAGGGUGGGACUACACACACACACACAGGGUGGGACUACACACACACACACACAGAACACAGGGUGGGAAUACACACACACACACAGGGUGGGACUACACACACACACACACACACAGAACACUGGGUGGGAAUACACACACAGAACACAGGGUGGGACUACACACACAC